GAGGAAGCCAUUAUAGGUUCGAGAAGAGAUCUGGCACUAGCGAGAUUUCCAGAGAUCUACAAGGAUUACGCCAACUGGCAAUCUAAGCAAUAGUGGAGAGGCUACCCUAAAUGUCCUUCCCCUGUAGUGAGACUUAUGACUACUUUACAUGUCUUCCUACAGCCUUCAUCCAGUGGCUUAUGGAAGCAGAGCCAGACACCCACAGCUAAACACUGAACUAACUCUGAAACUCAGUUGAAGAGAGGGAGGAGUGAUGAACAAAGAGAUUAAGACUGGGCUGGAGAAAACCACAGAAACAGCUAUCCUGAGCAAGGGGGACUGCAUGUACUCCAGGCUGAUGUCUGGGAGGCCAGCAUGGGACUGAUCCAGACCCCUGAACAUGGAUGUCAGUGAGGAGGUCUUGGCACUCUAUGAGGCCUCUGGUAGUAGAUCAGUAUUCAUCGCUGGAGUAAGAAAGGACUUUGGGAGCCCAUCCAAUGUGGAGCAAUGGUCUCUCAUCCUGGACACAUGGGCCAGGGCCUAGGCCCUGCUCAGGAACAUGACAGACUUUUGGGAUCCCACAUGGAGUGCCUUACCCUCCCUGGAGAGCAGAGUGGGGAUGGGGUGGGUGGUUAGCAGAAGGUGGGAUAGGAGGGGAGGAAGACGGAGCAGGGAUUGACAUGUGAAGCAGGCUUGCUUCUAAUUUUAACUAAUAAAAAAUGUGAAAAAUGUUUUGAUUAUAAGCAUCAUUUGAUAUCUUUAAUUAUUAUGAAACACUUUCAUAAUUGUGACCAUUUAUUUCCAAGUGCAGAGAAAUUUAACAGCAUAUUCUUUAAUAAUUAUCAUAUUAGUUGAAUACAGAUGGAAAUUAAUUGGUAUAAAGAAAGGAAUAAAGAGGAUUGAUCAAUAAAAUUUAGAGAGUUGAUAAAACAUAGCAAAAUAGAUAAUGAAGAAUAAAAGAGAAAUGAUUUCUAAAUACAUAUGCACUACUGCUACCAUUCCAAGGUAAACAAUAUUAGAAAGGUACAAUUAAAAAUUGUAAAUGAAGAAUUUGUAAUAGUAGAUUGCUUGCUUGCCAUAUGUAAGGUUCCAUGUUUGAUCUCCAACUCCAUGAAAGUCGUAUUUCAAUUUUUGACAGUGUUGACAUUGAGUAGUCACCAAACAUGUUUAUUAAAAGUAGACAUAUAGCAGUUGAUUUCAAUGAAUAUUGUUUAUUGCUUAAUAGUCACAAUACAAUCAUGUUGGUUAAAUGAGAAAAGGUGUUUUGAUGUGAACAGAAGAUACAAAAUGUUCAGGAGCUGAGAAAAGGACCUUGAUUCUUGUCCUUGUCUGGAAAUAGCUUUGGUUCUCUUCCAUCUUGAAGUCAGAAAUUAAGAUGGGGUCUCUAUUACUUUCUCUUGAUUCUCGUUAUCUUUCUUUUACAUUUGUACAACCUAGAUGAGUAUUACUGCUUGGCCAGUAUGUGUAUGAACAAGACCCCAAAUGACAGAUAACUAGAUAUGUGCGAUGGAACAGUGGGGUUGAGCAGCUCCUCUAUUCACACCUCUCAGUUUAUAUCACAAGUCUUGUUAAACCUUCUACACUACAGGUGUGCUCGUAUUGCCUGUCCAGUACCUAUUCUUAUAGGGCACCUCUUCUUUUUUGCUCUAUUUAGUGUUAGUCAGGGUUGCUAUUGCUGUGAUGAAACACUAUUAACAGAAGCAUGUUGGAGAGGAAAGGAUUUAUUUAGUUUACAUUUUCACAUUAUAGUCUAUCUCUUAAGGAAGCCAAGACAGGAACUCAAGUAGGGCCAGAAUAUGGAAGCCCUUACACCUUAGAUCAUUCCAGAGUUCCUAUCUCUUCCUGGAAAUCCCACCUAUCCUCUCCUACCUAGCUAUUGAGUAUUCAGCUCAUCAUUAAACCAAUCCGAAGGUGCCUUAGGCAGGUGAGGAAGGUCAGAGACACAUCUUUACACAGUCUACAAAAAGUUUAUUCCAACAAUGGGCCCUAUAGGGCUUGUCACUAUUAGGAGGUGUGGCUUUGUUGGAGUAGGUGUGGCAUGAUGUAGGAAGUCUGUCACUGUUUGGGUGGUCAUUGAGGUCUCCUAUAUCCAAGUUAAUGUCAGUGUGGCUCAAAGUUGUCUCUGCUGCCUAUAGAUCAUUAUGUAGAACUCUCAGUUCCUUGUCCAGCAGCAUGUCUACCUGCAUGCCUCCUUGUCCUGCCAUGAUGAUAACUGACUAAACUGCUGACACUGAAAGUUAGCCAAAAUCAAAUGUUUUCCUUUUGAAGAGUUACUGUAGUCAUGGUGUCUCUUCACAGCAAUAUAACCCUAAGACAAAUACCAAGUUCCAGAACUGUAGCAUAUAUGCAGAGGACCUAAGUCAGACCUAUACAGGUCUAUGAUUGUCAAUUCAGUAUCUGUGAGUACCUGUGAUAUUUUGGGGUCUCAUGUAUACCAUCAUAUCAUCUGCGAAUAUGGAUACUUUAACUUCUUCCUUUCAAAUUUGUAUCCCCUUGAUUUCAUUUAGUUGUCUUGUUUCUCUAGCUAGAACUUCAAGUACUAUAUUAUAUAGAUAUGGAGAGAAUAGAAAUUAUUUCCUUGUUCAAGAUUUUAAUGGAGUUCCUUUGAGUUUCUCUCCAUUUAAAAAUUUUAUGUUGUCUAAAGCCUGCUGUAAAAUGCCUUCAUUAUGUCUAGGUUUGUCCCUUUAAUCCCUAUUUUUCUAAGACUUACCAUGAAAGGGUGUUGGCUUGUAUCAAAGGUAUUUUCAGCACCUAAUGAGAUGAAAAUGUGUUGUUUUUCUUUCUGUUUGGUUAUAUGGGGAUUACAUUGACAGAUUUUUGUAUUUUGAACCAUCCCUGCCUCUCUAGGAUGAAGCCUACUUGAUUAUGGUGGGUGAUCUUUCUGAUUUGUUCUUGGAUUCAGUUUGCAAGUAUUGAGUAUUUGUGUAUCUAGUUUCAAGAAGAAAAAUUGAUCUGAGAUUUACUUUCUUUGUUGAAUCUUUGUGUGUUUUGAGUAUUGGGGUGACUAUGGUCCUAUAAAAUGAAUUUGGCAAUCUUCCUUCUGUUUCUUUUUUUGUGUGAAAAUUUAAGGAGUAUGGGCAUUAGCUCUUUGAAAAUCUGAUGGAAUUCUGAACUAAAGCCAUCUGGCAUUGGACUUUUUGUUUCCUUAGGGGAUAAAGGUCUAUUUAAAUUGUUUGUUUGAUACUGACUUAACCUCAAUUAAAUCUAUGAAAAAAAUUGUCCAUUUAUUUUAGACUUUCAAAUUUUGUAGAGUACAUGUUUUUGAAGUAUGACCUAAUGAUUCAUUGGAAUUCCUUUUUGUCUGCUGUUAUGUCUCCCUUUUAUUAAUUUGGAUAUUCUGUAUCUGUCUUUAAGUUAGUUUGGAUAAAGGUUUUCUUAUCUUGUUGAUUUUCCCAAAGAACCACCUCAUUUUUUCAUUGAUUCUUUGCAUUGUUCUGUUUCUUGUAUUUAUUGAUUUCAGCCCUUGGUUUGAUUAUUUGCUGUUGUUUACUUUACUUCAGUGUGUUUGUGUCUUUUUGUGCUAGAGUUUACAGGUGUGCCAUUAAUUUGCUAGUAUGGAAUCUCUGCUAUUUCUUUAUGAAUGCACUUAGCACUAUGAAUUUUCUUCUUUGCAUUGUUUCCAUUGUGUGCCAAAAGUUUUGAUGUGCUGUGCAAUUACUUACAUUGAAUUCUAGGAAGUUUUUAAUUUCUUUCUUUCUUUCUUCCAUGAUCCAGUAGUCAUGAAGUAUAGAGUUGCUCAGGUCUUUUGGUAGGUAGGCUUGUUUCCAUUGUUGAUGAAAUCUGGCUUUAAUCCAUGGCUGUCUGAUAGGAUCCCGGAAGUUAUUUCAAUUUUCAUGUAUCUGUUGAGACUUGCUUUGUGACUGAGUAUGUGAUCAAUUUUGGAGAAAGUUCUGUGAGGCUCUGAGAAGGUUUAUUUUUUGUUUUAUUUAUAAGAUAAUCUGUGGAUAUGUUAAGUCCAUUUGGUUCACAAUGUCCAUUAGUUCCAUAAUUUCCUUUUUUAGUUUUGUUUGGAUGAUCUGCUCAUUAGUGAGAGCACUGUCUUCAGUCUCUCACUAUUAAUGUGUCAGGUUUGAUACAUGAUUUUUGCUUCAGUAAUGUUUCUUUUACAAUUGUGUUGUUCUUGGAUAUGGGGCAUAAAUAUUAAGAAUAGAAAUGUCAUUUUGAUGGAUUUUUUCCUUUGAUGAGUAUAAAGUGUCAUCCCAUAUCUAUUUUGAUUAAUUUUGGUUUGAAGUCUAUUGUGUUUAGUAUUAGCAUGGCUACACCAGGUUUGAAGUAACAUUAUUAUGUGGUAAUGUUACUUUUUUUUCUUGCUCAAUCUAUUUGGUCUGUAAAUUUCGUUUACCUUAGAGGUAUGUUCUUCUUUAGUGUAGAAAGUUUUUCUUCUAUGAUUUUGUUAAAAAGUAUAUUCUGGGCUGUUGAACUUAGAUUUUUUUUUACUUCUUUUUUGACUAUUGCUUUGGUGUUUGUACUUUUCAUAGUGUACCAGAUUUCCUGAUGUUUUAUGCCAAUCAUCUUUUAGAAUUAAUAUUUUUUUAACCCAUGUAUCUAUUUAUUUCUACCAUAUGUUCAAUUUGUAGCAUUCAAGAAAGCCAAGAAAAAUAAACAUUUGAAGUAAAUGAAUAAAAGCAUUUAAGACCUCAAAAUGGGAAAAAAUGCAGUAAAGAAAACACAAAUUGCGGAAAUUCUGGAAAUGUAAAAGUCUAGAACACAGCUUGUCUUCUCAUCUUGGAAGUCUCCACUGCACCACUGCUGCUGCACCUGGUGGUAAUCUCAUGGUACUACUAUCUCCAAAAUGCUGGAACGUCUGCUACAACUGAAAUGCCCUUUCACCAAUAGCCUCUCCUGGCCAUUUUCAAGUUGCCAAGCCUCAAAGUUUUUCCAUGACCCCUUCAUUUCUGGGGCCUCACCUGCUAGUGAGACUGUACAUUCUUUGAUGGCCUAUUCUGGCCCCUUAUAUUGCCGAUCUGUUUUUCAUGUCACCUUCAUGGCUUUGUAACCAGUACCACCUGGGAGAUUCUUUUACUAUCAAGCCUGGUUGCCAUUGUGAGGCUGAGAAUCUAAGUGGAACAUUGGCGAGAAUCCAUUGCAAAAAACUACAUAUAUUUAAGUUAAUUACAGGUCCUGAGGCAGAAGAGGCUCAAGAAGAAUAUUAAAGAAAUAAAUCAAUGCCCUUGGAAAAUCAAAGUUCAGAUAAGACUCAAAGGACAGACACUUUCAUGAAAACAAAAUGUUAAGGACUCCCAUGGGAAGGGAUACUAGAUGUAAACAAAGGAUAUUCAGACUACAAUCCACAGCUCCAGAAGCUAGGUAACAAGAAGGACCCUAAGAGAAAAUUUCAAAUCUGUGUUCAAUGAAACCUCAACAUAUUUGCCCCUUUACUUUCUCCCAUCCCCCUAUCAAUAGACCUCACUCUAGAACUCAUGCCUUUCCACUAAGUCCACUUAGUGGGGUCGGUAUGUGUAUGAGUAUAGCUUUAUCCACGGGAGCAUGGGAAAGCUACCAGGAGGCAAGUUCUCAAAGAAGAGUUACCCUACCAUCUCCACAAAAGUCAACUGCUAACAUCUUGUCAGUAAAGAAUGCUACCCAGAGAUGAUCCAGUCCAUCUAUGCCGGCUUGAUAGUGUGCAGAGUCUCUUAUGGAACCUGGAACUCAUUGUUUUGGUGAGAUAAUAACAGGCCAGCAAGACCAAGGAUCUUCCUUUUACCGUCCCCUCAGUGUGGCCCAUGAAAUACUUUGCUACCCACAGUGUUUGAGAGUAAUCUGGUAAUCUGUUUUGGCUAAAAGGACAGAACUGAUAGAAUGAAUAUAAAUAUAUUACAAACAAGUUUAUUAGGUUGGGUUACAUGAUAGUAUCUGAAUAUUACAAUGUCUGUUUCAUGGUAUAUGACCCACUAAUAUCAAUGUGUCACCGAAGAUCUGGAAGAUUCCCGGUGAGCCACUGUUCUUCUGUUCAUGGUAAAAGUUCAAAAAUCUUGAGUUUUAUUAUGAGAGAAAGAAGAGAGUAACAGCAUAUCUGCAGAAACAGAGUCAAUAAAUUUAGCAUCAAGAGUCAAAGGCAAUGGUGUAAAAAGAAAAGCUAUUUUCCUUGUAUCUCCUUUUACCUGAGCUGCCACUGGAAGGUGUCUCCCAUAUUUAAGAUGAGUCUCUUCAGUCUAAUAACCCAAUCAAGAAAAUUCCUCAUGUUUAUUCCCAAAAGUUAUUUCUUUGUUGAUGCCAAAUUAUGUUAAUUAAGAUUACAUCACAGGAUUUAAAAUCAGGUCUGAGGUUGUCAAGCAAGCACUUUCUUCACUAAGAUGUUUGAGCAGUUUUAAGCCAUUUAAAAAUUUCAGCCAUGAGAUGGUUUAGAGAUAUGACUAAAGGUGAUUCAUUUUAGCUGUAACAUAAAAGAAUAUACCAGAAUUUAAAAUAACAUAGUAGUAAAUUUUGUUAGAUUUGAUAAUAUUCAUAUCAGGGAGGUGAAAACAGUCCAUGUAUAAAACAUGUAUGCUAAAUAUUUCUAAAGAUUGUUUUAUGAAUGCAACUGUAUUUCUAGUCAAAAAUCAAAUGCAAUUGACUUUUUGUCAGUAUUCACUAUAUAAAAUAACAGCAAAAAUGCAACCUCUAGAA